GACGCUGGCGGCGUGCCUAAUACAUGCAAGUCGAACGGCUUUUCUAUGGAAGCUUGCUUCCACUGAGAAGAUAGUGGCGAACGGGUGAGUAACACGUGGGUAACCUGCCCAUAAGAGGGGGAUAACAUCCGGAAACGGGUGCUAAUACCGCAUAGUUUUCUUGAUCGCAUGAUUGAGAAAGGAAAGACGGCCUUUGUGCUGUCGCUUAUGGAUGGACCCGCGGCGUAUUAGUUAGUUGGUGAGGUAACGGCUCACCAAGACGAUGAUACGUAGCCGACCUGAGAGGGUGAUCGGCCACAUUGGGACUGAGACACGGCCCAAACUCCUACGGGAGGCAGCAGUAGGGAAUCUUCCGCAAUGGACGAAAGUCUGACGGAGCAACGCCGCGUGAGUGAAAGAAGGUUUUCGGAUCGUAAAACUCUGUUGUCAGAGGAGAACAAGUUGGAGAGUAACUGCUCCAGCCUUGACGGUAUCUGACCAGAAAGCCACGGCUAACUACGUGCCAGCCGCCGC
rnacentral:rRNA from 1 species